AUCAUGUCAAAAAUUUAAACACGAGCACGACCCUUCUACUAUACAAGUUAUACGACACGACAUGAUACGAUUAAUAUUAAAUUGUAUCAGGUGUACAACAUGAUACGACCCAUUUAACACGAAAUAACUCAUUUAACAUGGUUUGACACAACUUAAUUCAUUUAACACGCUAUAUAAGUGGUUUUAUGAGUCAUAGGGGAUCAAAUGAGUUAGUGGGUCACGAGUCAACACGUAACAUGAAUAUUAAAUCGUGUCAUA
rnacentral:misc_RNA from 1 species